GGAAGGCCUGUAGCUCAGCGGUAGGACAUCUGCUUUGCAUGCAGAAGGUCCCAGGAUCAAUCCCUGCGGUCUCUA